UUUUCAGGUCGGGCUUUAGAUUAAUUACACAAGUGUUAAGUGGUAGUUUGUUGGCAUUCCGGUUUUGCGUGUGAAUAAAGGCUGUAUAAAAAGUGCGUCAAAGGUCCGCAAGUGUGCGUUACCAGUGACGGCAAUUUAGUGGAUGGGCCACCCACAAGUAAUCCUUGGACCACGGCAACCACGGAAUUUACGUAUGGAGCUCGCAUUUGGAUCAUCAUGGAGCGAGGGCGAAAUAUGGUAUAAUAUUUUAAUUAAAUUUUUAUUUUAUAUUAAAGUUUAGCAAGAAUUAUCAAUAUCAAUUUGGAAACAAUUAUCUGCCGUAAAAUCAUGGAAUUGCACCAUCAGAAGCAUCAUCAACAUAUGUGCACAACUUGAAUGCUGCCAAGGCGCAGUUUGCUGAAGCACAGAAAAGCUGAUGUGACUACGACCAUCCCAUGUUGAAGCUAUCUGGGAUGCCGCCAGCUGGAAGGAUAUCUUUAAUCACCUCGUUGCCGCUGCUAAGAGAUGUUUGAGUCAUCCAAGCUUUAAUUGACCUAGAGAAGCCUGUUCGAAUUUGUGGGACGAAUGUUGGGCAAAGCAAAGCUGAUGAGUGAUAUUUUUAAAUAAAUAAUUUAACUACAACACAUUCCGCGUUUGUGAUAAUCAACGAAAAGAUGCGAAAUUUGAGCAUUCAGUUACUAUUGAAGAAAUAUUAUAGAAAAUUAACCCAUGUUGGUUCUUGCUUACUUUGUGAUAUGUAAUGCACACGAUUCGUGAAUUCUUCGUACAACUAUUAUUAGAAUAAAAUUACUUUAAACGAAUUUGUAUUGUACGUAGUAAUUAGAGCUAACUUACGCGCUUUAUUGAAGAAUUAUAGAAAUUAUUCCAUGUUAGUUUUUGCUUACAAAGUAAGCAAGGGGAAGAAAGUUCUGUAUACUAAAACUGCAUCACGUAUGUGUUGAAGAUUUGUUAUUGUAAGUUAUGUCAUGUAUAUCGGCGUGGAUGAGUAGUGAAAAUGUAAAUUUUAUAAAUAAAAAUAUAUUAUUUGAAACUAAAGGAACUGUAAAUGAAA